rnacentral:rRNA from 1 species
CGGGUUACCGAAUUCAGACAAACUCCGAAUGCCAAUUAAUUUAACUUGGGAGUCAGAACAUGGGUGAUAAGGUCCGUGUUCGAAAGGGAAACAGCCCAGACCACCAGCUAAGGUCCCAAAAUAUAUGUUAAGUGGAAAAGGAUGUGGCGUUGCCCAGACAACUAGGAUGUUGGCUUAGAAGCAGCCAUCAUUUAAAGAGUGCGUAAUAGCUCACUAGUCGAGUGACACUGCGCCGAAAAUGUACCGGGGCUAAACAUAUUACCGAAGCUGUGGAUUGUCCUUUGGACAAUGGUAGGAGAGCGUUCUAAGGGCGUUGAAGCAUGAUCGUAAGGACAUGUGGAGCGCUUAGAAGUGAGAAUGCCGGUGUGAGUAGCGAAAGACGGGUGAGAAUCCCGUCCACCGAUUGACUAAGGUUUCCAGAGGAAGGCUCGUCCGCUCUGGGUUAGUCGGGUCCUAAGCUGAGGCCGACAGGCGUAGGCGAUGGAUAACAGGUUGAUAUUCCUGUACCACCUAUAAUCGUUUUAAUCGAUGGGGGGACGCAGUAGGAUAGGCGAAGCGUGCGAUUGGAUUGCACGUCUAAGCAGUAAGGCUGAGUAUUAGGCAAAUCCGGUACUCGUUAAGGCUGAGC